rnacentral:tRNA from 1 species
AGGAUAAUAGUUAAAUAUAACAUUUGAUUUGCAUUCAAAAAGUAUUGAUUAUUCAAUUUAUCUUA